UACAGAGGUGGCAAGCGUUUGUUCGGAAUUACUGGGCGUAAAGGGCGCGUAGGCGGCCUACUAAGUCAGACGUGAAAUCCCCCGGCUUAACCUGGGAACUGCGUCUGAUACUGGAAGGCUUGAGGAUGGGAGAGGGAUGUAGAAUUCCAGGUGUAGCGGUGAAAUGCGUAGAUAUCUGGAGGAACACCGGUGGCGAAGGCGGCAUCCUGGACCGGCAUUGACGCUGAGGCGCGAAAGCCAGGGGAGCAAACGGG
rnacentral:rRNA from 1 species